rnacentral:tRNA from 5 species
GCGUCCUUAGCUCAGCUGGAUAGAGCAGCCGCCUUCUAAGCGGCCGGUCGGAGGUUCGAAUCCUCCAGGGCGCGCCA